rnacentral:rRNA from 1 species
UACGUAGGUGGCGAGCGUUGUCCGGAUUUACUGGGCGUAAAGGGAGCGUAGGCGGACUUUUAAGUGAGAUGUGAAAUACCCGGGCUCAACUUGGGUGCUGCAUUUCAAACUGGAAGUCUAGAGUGCAGGAGAGGAGAAUGGAAUUCCUAGUGUAGCGGUGCGAUGCGUAGAGAUUAGGAAGAACACCAGUGGCGAAGGCGAUUCUCUGGACUGUAACUGACGCUGAGGCUCGAAAGCGUGGGGAGCAAACAGGAUUAGAUACCCCGGUA